rnacentral:rRNA from 1 species
UACGAAGGGGGCUAGCGUUGCUCGGAAUCACUGGGCGUAAAGGGUGCGUAGGCGGGGCUUUAAGUCAGGGGUGAAAUCCUGGAGCUCAACUCCAGAACUGCCUUUGAUACUGAAGAUCUUGAGUUCGGGAGAGGCGAGUGGAACUGCGAGUGUAGAGGUGAAAUUCGUAGAUAUUCGCAAGAACACCAGUGGCGAAGGCGGCUCACUGGCCCGAUACUGACGCUGAGGCACGAAAGCGUGGGGAGCAAACAGG